ensembl:lncRNA
GAGCAUUCCUGUACCCAGGGACUGCCAAUCCACAGGGCUGCAGGGUUCACCAAGCUGCAAGAGUCAGCAUGGAGGAGAAUGAGGAGAGCCCCCCUUGGACAAUGCUUCUUUAUAGAGAGUAUAAAAGUCGUGUGAGCCCUCAAGGAUAACAUUUGUAACGUGCACCCAAACCUCACUGCAAGUUACAGGGUGCUAUGUUAUGAGCAUUCUUGUGUCCCUUUAAACCUCUCAGGCUUUGUGUCUGUAUUAACAAACAAUUCAUUCACAUUUUGCUAUUUAGAGGAAAAGCUCAGAAUAGACUUGGUUAUUUGAUACUAAUUAUUUAGCAGGUAUAAAAGCAUAUUCAAGUCCCUAAUCUCCUUUCUGAGCAGGCAGGCAUGCUCAUGUUCAAAUAGUUGCAUAACUUGCCCAUCUCUAGUUGACAAACCCUCCUAACUUUGUUUUCAGAUCACAUGCAACCCCACCCCCGGCCAAGCUGUGUGCAUAGCUGGUCUGUAUUACAGCUUGCUGUUAAUCUCAUUCUCCUUUCACUGCUCUUCCUGCAGUUGGUUGCUUGUGUCUUGUAAGGUGUAUAAAGGACCAUCUGUUCAGGAAAGGGCUGCCCAACAUCUGUGCAGCUCAGAGCACCUUGGGUGGAUAUUGGUAAAACAAAUCUAUGAAAAAAUUCACAAUGACAAUUUGUACUGACUUGAGAUGUAAGAGAUUUGCUGGAUCUUGCUUCGCCUCUCUCCAUAGAAUCAUAGAAUGGAUUGUGUUGGAAGGGACCUUAAAGGCCAUCAAGCUCCAAACUCCUGCUGUGGGCAGGGCUGCCACUCACUAGAUCAGGCGCUAGACCAGGCUGCCAAGGCUCCCAUCCAGACUGACCUUGAACAUCUCUAGAGAUGGGGCAUCUACAACCUCUCCUGGCAGCUCAUUGCCCUCUGAGUAAAGAAUUUUUUGCUAACAUCUAACCUAAAUCUCCCCACUUUUAGUUUAAAACCAUUCACUGUUUUCCUAUCGUUAUCAGAUCAUGUAAAAAGUUGUUCCCCCUUCCUGCUGAUAAGCUCCCCUCAGAUUCUGAAAGGCCACAAUGAGGUCUUCCCUCAGCCUUCUCCAAGCUGAACAAACCCAGUUCUCUCAACCUAUCUCUAUAGGAGAGGUACUCCAGCCCCACAGUCAUCUUUGUGGCCCUCUUCAGAACCUGCUCCAACAGCUCCACAUCCUUCUCAUGUUAUGGGUCCCAGCCCUGGACACAGGACUCCCGAUGGGGCCUCACAAGGGCAGAGCAGAGAGGAACACUUCCCUCCCUCUCCCUGCUGCCAUCCUUUUGAUGCAGCCCAGGAUACAACCCUUUUGGCUUGCAAGUGCACACUACUGGUCUUUGUCCAGCUUUUCAUCCAUCAGUACACCCAUAUAUCUAGAUAUGUAUCUAUGUACAUGUAGGUUUGUGUUUGCUUGUGUAUUUAUCUGAACAGUUGGUGUAUGGUAUCAGAAGCACACAGGUCCUGCGGAUGGUGAAACGAGGGCAGUGCUGGUGUAAAGAAAUGUGAAGUGUUUCUAACUGGCCAAUCUUUCUCAACUGUUCACAUCUUCUGUUUAAAGAAAACUGACCAAAUCAGUAGAAUCACAGAGGAUUCAAAUAAAAGUAAAGCCAGGGCUGAGCCUGAUACUGGGAAUUUUGCUGAAUUAGGCAUAAAUUAGAUGUUAUCUCUCAGCCAGUUAAGAUGAUACCGAAAGCAGAUACUUCAAACUGUUUGCAGUGUGUGAGAGUUUCUAAUCUCCUUUCAUAUAAUUUAGAAUCCAACCCAGAGCCAGGGCUGUGGUUUCAAGGCACGGCUGGAACAGAUACCGGAUUUCUAUGGGUGCUGGGGAAGUCAAGGAAAUAAAGCAGUCUUCCAGCUCUGUGCAUUAUCGUUGCAAACAAUAGCCUGCUGGCACAAAACAAGUUUUAAUUGAUUGUUGCUAUUGAUUUUACAGGAAGCAAAGCAGAAGAAAUUCAACUUGAUUUUUGUAAGCUGAGGUGACCUGAAAAACACAAAGGAGAAAAAGAGAAUAGAAAGCCCUCCCACAUUUUGCCCAGUUCUGUGAGCUUACAGCUGAGCGCUCCAUAAAAACCCUGUCCAUUGAUUCCCUAUGUAUUUUGACCAUAUUGAUUUUCUCAUUAUAUAAUCUCCAUCUGAAAAUUUUAUUCAGAUUGUACGUUUUGCACUGUCACUGUGCAGAUCAGAGUCCCGUCUUGUUUCUUUCUCCUCUCCCUUUUGACCUCUCCAGUCUACAUGGGGUAAAAGCUGCACCUGGAAAUUUAUGUCCUACCUUUCUGCCGGUCUUCCCUUUCUGGAACGUUUUCUGUUCAGGAAGAGCCCAGGAUAUGGGAUUUGCCUCUACUCCUGCUGCUCUACCAGAGCCAGGCAGGGAGCAGAGGAGAUAGUCAUAGGCUGCCAGAUGUACUGAGACAGAUAAUUAGCCCAGGUGGGUAGGCUUGUGCUUGCUGAGGGGCCUCUGGCUGGAGCUGCUCAGGAAGGGAGGAGAUGGUCAACUUUGUGGGAUGCUGCUUAGAUUUAUUCUUUCCCCAAGCUCCCCUUGGGCAUGGAUUAGGAGGCUGAGUGGGUGAAGUUGGAGGAUUGUAGUGGUGGUUUAAGAUGAUGUAAACCCACAGAAAUGCAAGAUGAUUUGAACUGCGCCACAUCCAUGACAGUUGGUCGGCAGAGAUAUUAGCCAAUGAUGGUAGAAGAUACUUACGUGAAAAUUUGCAGCUAAUACUGUACUCCAAAUACUAUGAUCAUCAGACGAACAGAAAGGAUAAGAAGAUCAUUUUGAGAAGUUUUCAAGGAGACAACUAGAAAAUGUUGAUUUCAAAGUUAUAGUGUAAUUCGAGUCAAUGUAUGAUGGAGCAAUGUGGAAAUUAUCCCAGCUUGACGAGAUGCAAGACCUUACAAGUAACUCUACAAAAAUUAGAAUUAUUGGACGAGAAAAGCACCUCAAUGAUACAUUGCACUUCAGUGGCUUCAAGGGUCCCUGGAUGAAGCCAUUUAGCACUUGGUAUGUUUUGGAAACUUAGGUAUGGAGCAUUCCUGAAAGAGUCUGAACUCAGACGCCAGACAGGUCCCUCAUGUUUCCAGCUUCUCUGAGUCUACAUAGUUUGGCAAUAAAUGGGGAACUGAGAGUGGCUCUGAUAACAGAACAAGUUCAGAAACUUAACGCUCUCUCAGACCCGAAACCAUGACAACUGACAUUGCUGACAUCCUUUUCACAAGUCCUAUUGCACUCUGUUAUCUUCAGCUUCUAACUCUGCUUUGAGAGAAACGUCUUUAUUUGAGGAGCUUAAAACAGCCUCAGGUCUUCAGGACUGUGGCCCUGUUUUCCAACGAGGAUGUGGGAGCUGUAAGGGCCAGUGAGAGACUUACUGCUAAUGGACACAUUACCUUUACAAUCCUGGAGUAUAUUGUUAUUCAGAUAACAGGAAAUACUCAUCAAUACUGCUUAAGGUCUGAAAAAGUAAAAAGGACAACCUAGCUGAUGUAACUACUCAAUUACAGUUAAGAUUUAGAUACAUUAACACAGGAAACAUUAAUUAAUGUAACUUCACUGACAGUGACUUCAAGCUUUAACAGUGACUUCUAGCUGCUAAUGUUAUAGUUUUACAAGAUGUUAAUGCAAUUCUAAACAUUUUUUGAAGAAUAAGGCAGCUUGAGAGGAAGGGUGUAAAAUCUUUGAUUCUCUUCACCUUAAUAUUUAAAGAAUAAAACCAUUCUGGAAUAACAUCUUCAGAAGAGAACCCUCAAAUAUACAGACAAUCUUAUAAAACACAGAGUUUAUGGUAAAAAAUUAUGGAAAUAUAGAAAAUCAAGUCUGACAGGGAAAACAUGUUUGUGAACAGUUGGAACUAUUCUCCUGAGUGUCACUUUUAAUGAUAAUUCAUAGUCAUUGAGGCCAUUAAGAUUGGAAAAGACCUCCAAGAUCAAGCACAACCAUCCACCUACCACCAAUAUUUCCCCACUAAACCAUGUUCCUCAGUACAACAUCUAAACAUUUCUUGAACACCUCCACGGACAGUGACUCCACCACCACCCUGGGCAGCCCAUUCCAGUGCCUGAUCACUCUUUCAGAGAAGAAAUUUUCCCUAAUAUCCAACGUGAAUCUCCCCUGGCGCAACUCCAGUUCUCUCCCCAAUCCCACUUGGAAGAGGAACAGUGAAUGAAUGACUGUGUGGUGCUUUGCCACUUGCUGGGUUAAACCAUAACAGUAAGGCAAUCUUUUAAUUCAAUAUAUGCAACACUUAGUGCAGUAAGAUCUUGUUUAAUGGAUCUUUGGCAUUAUGUUACCAUCAUUUUUCUUACUGAAAUUUAACUUGAUCAAAUUCAUAGUGAAGUGGAAUGAAAUCUUCCCAGUUCACAAAACAUUACAGCAGUUAGAACCACUGCAGUUCUCAUCUGUUACAUUCUAGCCUUAUACCAGUGUAUUAGUGUAAAGGUAUAUUUCACUAUAAGAUGAACCUCAAGAGGGCCUAAACUGCAUUUUUAUCAAAUAAUUUUGAAACAAUUGGAGGAUUGCUGGAAGAGUUCUUAAGUUAGAGGAUGUUCUAUCCUCUCUUGCAGGCAGGUCAAGUCAUAGCACAUCCUGAAGCUGGUUCUGCUCUGACAGCAUGCCUGCACGCCAUGCAAUGGCCUUGGUGGAGAAACAGUGCUGUGUCAGAAGGAGCUGUUGAUUCAUCAUGAUUAAAAAAUGAUCUUCAGAAUUCUUGGAAAAUGGAUGAAAUAUCCAUUAUAGAUUUUAUGAGUACUGUCUUUAACAUGAAAGCUUUUUAAAUUGACCAUGAUUCAUACUAAUAAAUGAAUAUACUUUAAAAAAAAUAGAAUCUAGAAUACAGGACUGCAGAGAACAACUCAAAACCUACAGUGACUUUUUGAGUUACUCUGUGGUGAAGAAGUAAGUAGAGAAAGACAAGUUGAUGAAUUAGGCCAAAUACUUUGCACCUUUAACAUCUACUGAAAUGGAUGGGGGCUGAAGAUUCAUACAGCAUCUUGCACAUCAAGGCUUUGUUACCACUAUUAGGUCCUUUCCCAUUAUGAAAACUACCUACGAGACCAUCCUUGAUGUCUGAUGUGCCUUGAUGGGCAGAACUGGAAGAGGGACAGAACUGUGCUUCUGACUCCUGUUUACUCCAUACUGCAUGAUUGUUACGUUCAUGAACCUGGUUUGGCAAUCACUGUAAAGGAGGAAAUAGUAAUCAUGUAAUUUCUUCAUAUACUGGAAAAAAAUACAAGAAAUAAGGCUGAGCUGUUUUUAAACAACCAAAGAACUAUUUGGAAAAUAAUUACAAAGCAAUAAAUGGGCAUACGUGAGGCAUAUAUAUCAAGACAGUGAAAGACAGGAAGUAGGAAAUGACAUUUUUCCUGGCCUAAUGUAUGAUAAUAAUCACAAGAAAUUGCAAUUUAGAGAAAACACAUUUCUUUUUGCUCCUAUCUGUAUUUUGGUAAAUUACUGUUCUCUGUUGUGACAGAAAAUUAAUUGCUACUGUGUCUGUUGAUUGCUUCUUAAUGACAUUGUAAUACACAGCUUUUUGGUUCAAUGUUAUUCUCAAUUCAAAUAUCUUUGUAAAUAUCAUAUACGGACUAUCUUGUAAGUAUGAUAUGAUUCAAGUUAUGCUUGUAAAACCUCCACUUAAAAUGAAUCUCCAUGUGACAGGUAAUUGGCUGCGGGCCUUUUUUUUGUUAUUGAUUUAACUUAAUGCCAAUGUACACAGGUGUGUUGGCGGGUUGUUCAAGCUUCCAAGGCACCCACAUUUGGCAGGACAAUUAAUUGUUGCAUAAUAAGAUUAUUUUCCCCCUUCAGUCCUGAAUCUUUUCAAAAGUUGUAUUUUAAACCUUUGUAGGUAUGUAUGUGGGUGAGAGAAAAAUACCCAACAAUGUUACCAUGAGGCAUGUUUCGAUUUAUUGUUUGAGGUGCUCAAGGAAACAGCAACAUAUAGAUAAGAUAUCUGCAAAUAUAUAUUUGCCAACUGAAGUGGAAAAAAAGAACAAAAAGCUUUAUAUAAUCAGGCUUUUACAUGCUAUAUAAAAUUCUAUAUUGCUAUCAGACAAAAUUGCUUAUUUUAGACAGAAAUACUACACUGAAAAUAUUAGCUGUCCGGUCUGCUUUACAUGUAGAUAGGAGAUACAAUUUGCCCUUGGACACAGAAAUAUCUGCAUCACAGACGCCCAGCGAAGGACUCAUUUGAAUACUUUGAGCAAAAUCCUGGCUCUGUUGAAGUUGAUGGGAAUUUUGCCAUUAACUUUGGUUGGACUUCAGUUUGCUUCUCCAGUGUGUAGUAAGGUAUGCAUCCCUGAGGAGUACACAGGGUAAUCUGGAGAAAGUGAACAACGCCACAGGAGUAACAGCUGGCCCAAAUUCUAGGGAGAGCAGUGACCUUAGAGGAAAAGAAGAGGCAGCACUGCUGUGGGAAUGCAUUGUAUGGAGAGGUGGGAGGAGAUUUCAUGAAAGGAUGUACAAGAUUGUUCCAAGCAUAGCAGGUAGCAUGACUGAACGUGUAAAAUCAAGAGCUGAAGAAAACACUUCUACUUUCACAAGCCCUAAGAAAUGAAUGAAGAAUGAAAAGUGUUGUGUCCAAACUUUGGAAGAGCUGGUUCUGUGAAAAGCUGUGUGAUGGCUCUUCUUUUACCCAGGUGUUUAUCUUGGGCUUGGUUCAAAAGCAAGGAUUUGUUUUGCCUUCCAGAUUUAUCCACUAAAUUGUGUUUCAUGGGGUCAUGCAAUCAGCUGUCCUCUCAUAAGAAAAAGGCCACAGCUGAGGAAACCAGGCCAGUUCAGGACUGCAGAGCCUUUGCCUGAGUGACUCUGAGAAGCUGCAUUGCACCUGAGUGGAAAAUCACUCUCCCAGGCCAAGGGAUGAUUUUUUAUCCUGGUGCUUUGUUUUCUAAAAAACUAUCCUGUCAAGCUGUGACUUAGGUUAAAAGUCAUUGGCACCACAGACAAGAAGUUGUCUGCUUCCAUAUAGAAGAGCAGAUGAUACACAUUCUGUAAAAAUCCAUAUAAAAUAUUUAUCAAAAUCUCAUUGCCCUGGAUGCCUACCAGAGACAAUCUGAAAAUUAAAUAAUUGCUGUUUAACUUUCUCUUUAGACACCCAAACACUUUAUUCUGCAGUAUAUGGCAAUGGAGUAAAACAUACCAAAAUAAAACUUUGUUGACAUAGAGCUUUGUUUUAAUUUAAAGGGCUCUCAGAAGUCCAGACUGCUCAGAAAUAAUCCCAUUUUUUCUUGGCUGACUGCAACAGCUGACAGACACUGAUACAGAAGAUGAGAUGCAUGUAUGUGUGAAAGAUGGUAAUGGUAAUGGUUUGCUCUCCACCAGCAGAAAUUAAAGCCCAGUCAGUAUUUUCAGAUUGCUUAUUAACCCUGUUAGAUUGGUUUGGGAGAAGAACCAUCCCACAUGGAAAAUGCUCCCAGCUGCUGUGAGCACAGUGCAGUAGAAGCAGGUACUGCCAUGUGUGCUACUGCAGACAGUGGUAAGCCCCCUCCCUUCCCCUAUGCUUAAAAACAAAACAAGACAAAACAAAACUCAGUUUCUUCGGUGUACACAAGAGAAUGUUUGGCAUUUGCUACUACUGAGCAGCAUUCUUGCCGUGUUUUGCUAUCUGUCAAAUGGCAUGCUCAUCCUCUGCCAAGAAAAAUACUUGUUUCCAAUACUAAUCACGCUCCCUGACUACCCUCUAGUGUAUAUUCUUCCUGGACUGCUAUCUGUCCAUGCAACAUUUGAAAGAUAUUAAAAUGAUUAUGAUGAAAUCUCUUGCUUACUGUGCUGGCAAGAGCUGGGAUAUGCUCCAGAGUCAAUGCCUGUAGUUCCCAGGGAGAAGGCAGUGCCUAAAGUUGCUUCUUACUGACUGCCUCCAUCCAUCCACAUGUAGGCAGGACAUUGUCGAGCUCUGUGUGGAGCCACAGACAGGCUCUGCUCUGGUGUAAUGUUGUUAAGGUAUGAGUUGCUGGAGAAAUGAUGAAUAAAGAGCAGUUGGUAGGUAGAUCCCAGAGCCACAAGUGAUUGUACUUAUAAAAGGAGAAGAUUGUUGUGAAAUGUGUAAUGAUACUUGAAAGGCAGUAGCUGGCAAGUCAGCAUGAAUGGUUUUCUAUUUUGCUCUUCAUUUGGUGAGAUGGAAUAAGGGUAUCCACACUGGCCCCAACUCCUCAGACUGGGGAUGAUACAACUACAAGGUGCAUCCCUACAUGGUCAGAUCAUUUUGGUAUCUCCUAAUGCUAACACCGAGACUUUCGGCCUUUGAAAUUCCUGGAAGUCUUAUGAGGAGUGACUGAGGGAACUGGGAUUGUUCAGUCUGGAGAAGGCUCAGGGGAGACCUUAUUGGUCUCUACAACUGCAUGAAAGGAGGUUGUAGUGAGGUGGGUGUCGGCCUCUUCUCCUAGGUAACAGCAGUUAGGAUGAGAGGUGAUGGCCUUAAGUUGUACCAAGGGAGGUUCAGAUUGAAUGUUAGGAAAAAAUUAUUCUCAGGAAGAGUAGUAACACAUAGGAACAGGCUGCCUAGGGAGGUGGUGGAGUCACUGUCCCUGGAAGAGUUCAGGCACUGAGGGGUAUGAUUUAGUGGGCAUGCUGGGGAUGAGUCGACAGUUGGAGCAGAUGAUCUUGGUCUCUUCCAACCUUAAUGAAUCUAUGAUUCUAGGAUAAUGAUUCUAUGAAGGAUUAGCCAGUUGUUCCUCCACCUAAGACAUAACUUUUUACUUCCCCCCCCCCCCAAAAAAAAAAAAAAGUUUUUUGAUCGACAUAUUCAUAUGUCCAUUUGGCAAUUAAAUGUUCUGUUUUUAUCCUCCACAAUGUAAGAGCUGCAUCUCUUUCAGGAAUCUAAAUCUGAUUUGUGUCCCACCUUACCAACAGACUAAUUAUGACUUUAGCAACAAGUGCCCUGAGACACCUCUGCAAACUAUUGAUGCUCAGAGUUGAUCAAGGAGAAGCUAGAAGCAUCUCCACAUAUUCCUGUUGUGCGUUGCAAGCCACAGCUCAACCACCACCAUUAUGGCAAACUUCAUUUGUUUUUGCAGACAUCAGGGUGGAAUUUGUGUCAUUUCUCUUUCAGCAUCUACAGAAUAGAUAUCUACAGCUGUGCUAAUCACUCUGGGCUCUCCUUAUAGGCAAGGAAGAGAAAUAAGUGUUUUUAGGGUGCAGUUUUCCUGACCUACUGUAUACAUUUACUUAAGGAGGACGAAUCACACUCAAGAUUCCUAUGCAUAGCCUGUCUAUGUCCUCACUGACUGUACUGAUAAUCUGGGAUGAUUAGCUUAACUGCGUACCAUACGCAUGUUUAUUUACCUCUGCUUAAUUACAUAAGUGAUAUCCACUGCCCAUUACAGAGCAGGCUUUGAAUGUAGAUGAUGUAGGCAAUUUCUGCAAGUAUUAUAGCAGACUGAAGCAAGCAGUGGUGCAUCCUCUUUCCAUGAAAUGGAAGAACUGUCUUUGUUGAGAGGAGGAUACUCUAAUUCCUUCUGUUUCUCCAUGGAACAGGACCUGACUCUUCUGGAAGAAGCAAAUAGGAGACAUUGACGUUGGCAGCAGUGUGAACUGUAGGUGGAGGAGUUAAUUGAGAGGUAGUUUAGGGACAUGGCAGGUUGCACUGGCUCCCAAAUGAUUAGAGAUGGUGGGGGAUCUGGUUGGGGAUUUGCUUAAGGAUCCCACCCAACUCUGCUCCAGAGGCAUUAAACAUCCCUGUGCUACCUAAUUCCAUUCCUUCUUUGUCUCAUGGAGUGUCCUGAAACCUCCUCAUAGCCCUCACAUUCACCUCCCCUCUCUCUCUCUCCAAAACCCAAUUUCCUCUCCCCAUCCUCCAAAGUGCCCUCAACUGGUCUCUUCUAGCCUCCUUUCUUGAAAGCUCUUCUCCAUCUCCUUCAAACUGUGAGGGGUCUUCAGAUCAAAGAGCAUUAGAGGGUGUAUGGUGGCAUGCAGUUUCCUAUGUUAGCUUGUGUUUUCAUAGAAUGGCUUGGGUUGGAAGGGAUCUCAAGGAUUAUCAAGCUCCAACCCCCCUGCCACAGGCAGGGCUGCCAACCUCCACAUUUAAUACUAGACCAGGCUGUCCAAGGCCCCAUCCAACCUGGCCUUGAACACCUCCAGGGUCAGGGCAUAGACAGCCCCUCUGGGCAGCCUGUUCCAGCACCUCACCACUCUCACAGUAAGGAACUUUCCUCUUAUAUCCAACCUAAAUCUUCCCUCCUUCAACUUAAAAUCAGUUCCCCUUGUCCUGCCAUUAUCUACCCUUUCUAAGAGCUGUUUUCUCUCUCCUGUGCUUGUGUUUUAUAUUUUUCAAAGUACAUUUUUCAAAAUUUGAAUGAUGCUCACUUAAGGGAACACUUAAUAAUUUUGUUUACAGUUAGAAAUCUUAAUUAAUAAGAAAUAGCCAUAAGAAUGGCCCAGGAACUUCAAGAGAACACAUAAAAUUUCCUCUGGAGCCCAGAAUGAUGCCCAGAGAAAGGUCUCCAGUGAUGUAUUACAACACUUUUUAAACUUAAAUUGCAUAAUGAAUAUUCAUAAUACUUAUUAUAGCAUAAUUAGUGAAGUAACAAGGGUUUGAAGAUAGGAGUCUGGCAAGAUCUGUACAAGAGAAAAUGCCCCAUCCCUGGAGGUGUCCGAGGCCAGGCUGCAUGGGGCCCUGAGCAGCCUGGUCUGGUGCCUGAUUUAGUGGGUGGCAACACUGUCCAUGGCAGGGAGUUGAAACUAGAUGGUCUUUGAGGUCCCUUCCAACCCAAGCCAUUCUAUGAUUCUAUGAAGAGAAAGAAAUUUAAUUUGUUUGCCUGACUGAGGUAUGAGGGAAAGCAGACAAGCUUUAGGCAUGAGGCCUUUAGGUAAAUAGUGAUAGAGAGAUUACAACCUCCGAAUUAUGCUUAUGGAUCAUAUAAACUCUACAUGGCUGGAAUCAGAGGACACAUUUCAUAUCAAGGGAAAUUUUUAAUAGAAACAACAAGUUGGUUUUGGUUCACCUUUAUGGUUUUAAAACUGUGAGAUGAAAUAUUUUUCCUACAUCUGCAAAAUAUUUUGAAUUUUGAAAAUGUUUCUAUCUGAAGUGCAAUAAAAAGCAGGAGCUGCAAUAAGUUGAUGAGUCAAUAAUGAAUAAACACAGUGUUUUGAAUUGAAAAUUUUGGCACAUUUCAGUGCAGUUACUAUUACUGAUAUAUUUUUCCUGUGGAUACACUGACAUUUAAAAACCAAUCUGUAACGAAGGGAAAAGAAAAAAUAACAUACAUAGCAUGUUGAAACAAAAGGCUCAGAAUCAGAAUUAUUUUGCAGAAAAAUCAGGUUUGAAAAUGUAUCUUUUUCUGGACAAAAGAGUGAAAUAAAACAGUUCAUUAACAGUGCUCAUACUCACUUGCAGACCCAGCAUAUGUGUGUACCACUGACACAACACACAGUUGCCUCCUAAAUACUGAAUUAAUUGUUAGGAUGAUAGUUAAUAGUCAUCCCCAGAUUUUCAAUUACGGGACGAUCCUCCUGUCAGUGCUGCUACUGCAAAUCUUUUCUUCCCCCUUGCAGUGCCCUUCCCUGUGCAACUGGGCAUUUUCAUUCCUCUAUUCAUUCCAGUGAACUACAGAGACCCUGAGCAUCUUUCUCUCUAUUAUUAUGCAGAUCUGCUUUUCUAGAUUCUCGGUAUUUUAUUUAUUGCACAAGCGUAACCCACUGGUAAUCAAUGACUACAAUUACAAGACCUUGAACACGAUGAUAGAAGAAAUAAUAUUUUAUGUUUGGCUUGAAAAUAAACACCCCUCCAUUAGCACAUUUUGCUCACCAUGACUACUGGUGAUGAAGGAAGUCGUCCACCUUGACAUCCCUUGAACCAGGCUACAGUACCACAAGGACUAUAUACACAUUAAAAGACAACUAAUUGAUUAGGGAUCUUUUAAAAAAUUUGGGCCAGAUCCUGAAUCCCACAUGCAUCACACAUUCAAAAAAUGAUUUUCCAAAAGACUCUGAGAAUUUCUGCAAGAUGCGUAGCACAUGUCUGACCUUUUCCUGUCCCCAUGAGGUUCCAGGUCCCUCCUCACUCUCAGCCCCAUAGGCACUGGCCAUCCGAGUCCUGAUCCUGCCAGAGUAGGACUGCAGAUGUGAUGAACACUAGCUGCUGUCUUUGCCUGGUAGACACGUCCAUCCAACACUGAAUCUUUCACAAAUUUUGCCUUCAGUAAAGAAGAGAGGAAGAAAAAUAGAAUAAGAAAUCAUGAAAACCAUUUUUAGAGGGAUUUUAAAUUUGUGCUGCGCUUUCUGAUUCAGAAUUUGAGCUGCACUCUGUGUUUCAGAUACAGUUGGACAUGUUAUUAAGACAAGCAAAGAUACAGUUGAAAAAUGCUGCUAAUAAUCUGGAUAAUUACUUUCAAAAUGAUCUACAUAAUUCCUGAAAUAGCUAAAAUAGAUACAUUCAACAUCCAUAACAAAGAAUAGUAUUCAAAGCAUUUAUAAACUAAAUACUGUUGCCACCACAGUCUCUUCAGACCUACCACCAAUUUGAUAUAUAUUUUCAGACAAGCCCAGGAAAAAUAUGAUUUGAAGGAUCCAUUAAAAGGGAAACUGCUGUUCAACUUUGGUUGUUGAUAGAGCCAUAAAAUAUAUAUUUAUAUGCAGUUUUAUAUAUACAAAAUGAAACUCACAUCCCACAGUAUCUUACUGGAGCUCAGAUGCAGCACAUGACAUAUUAUAUCUGUGGAAAUGGGAUCUAUAACCUAAUGUAUUCUUGCAUCAAAGAAUAAUGUCUCAUAAAUAAAUCAUUACAGCCUGUCACAUCUAUGGUUUCACACCGUAGUGUAUAAAAUAAUGUAUUUUGAGAUACGGGAGAAGGUGAUUAUCUAAUGUUUCAACAAAAAAAGAUUGUCCUGUGCUAAUGCAUGUGCUGUCUUAGAGGUGUUAUUGCCUUACCGCUGUUCAUUGAAGACUAAUCCAUCAUAUCAAAGGAGCGACAGCAUUUCACUUUUAAAAAACUGACACAAUUUGCACGCGGCUUUUCUCUUUCAGUAAUUAAGAAAUCAAAUAAGCCUGAGUGAAACUAUUUAAGAGGUUCUAGAUAUAAUUAGAACACCUCAUUCUCUCAUAACUAAUUCCUAAUUAAAGUAAUUUGUCUUUUUGCCCUUCUUUUCAAGGGUGAAGAGCAAGUGGUGAUGAAUGCUCAAAAUCAGGAAAAGUGAAAAUUGCAGUGUGUUGAUUUGCAGUGAUUGAGCGCGUUCCAGUUUUUAACAACCACCUUCGGCUGCAAUGCUAAAUGAAUCUCCAGCCUCUAUUUACAUUGAGAAUGUGUGAUCCAGAGCCUGACAAUUGAUAGAAUCUGGCGACAAAAGGGCUGAAGUCUGAGUCUGAGUUCAAAAGUUGCCUAUAUUAAGCUUUGCACAGGGGGAAAAAAUACAGUGAGACGGCACAGGAGAGAGAAGAAGUCUGAAAUUUGCUCCACUGGGUGAAAAUUGUCCUUUUAAAAUUUUAUUUGCAGCUGUGCCCAGAUGAUGACGGAUUUAUCAUAUGAACCAGGGAUUAGUAAACAAUGUGUACCCUAUAAAGAGCAAAACAAGUCCUUGCUCAUCACUGCACUUAAUUGCAGUGGUUAUAUCAAAGCCAUAUAAAAUUUAAUCAUCAACCACAAGUAAGAUUUUGCCUUGCAUGUGUGCUUGCUUCCCUGUUUUUCCACCUGUUUAAAUGAAAGAUUCUUGGAAUAUCACAAUAUGUAAAUAUUGUUUAUGAUGCAAAAAUAUGCUCUUUCAUCUCCUGGCUGCUUUGAUGUCGUGAUAUACAAAGCUUUUAGUGCCACCACCUACCUGACACACAAAGGUCUUAUCUGAUUCAUAAACAUGUGUGCCCAGUGCAAACAGGCUGUAUCCAAUAGAUGAUUUUUCUUUUCCUUGCAAUGUUUUUUUAACAGACAGAAAGAGAAAGAAAGUGUAAAUGACAGAACUGCUCAGGUGAAAAGAUUAUUUUAAGCAUCAGGUAAAGAUAAGCCCAUUAUGACAGAAGAAAAAGAUGUAGGUCAGUAUCGAUCCUAAGAGGUUAGUUAUAUAUAUAGUCAUCUCGUAAAAUGUGUUUUAAAAGCUGAAACUUUUUUUAAAGACUUUUGAUCCAAGUGGGAAAUAAGCAGCAAGAUCAGGUGCCCUCCUAAGACAUACAAAUAUGCCUAAUUAGCAGGAGAAGAAAGAGAAAAGCAGGAAGUGAGGUCAACACUGGAAACAGGGCAAACGGAGUCAGGGAGGGAAUAAGGUGUAGGUAAUAGUUAAAAUUUGCGGCUCAUUGGUAACAAUUUUAAACCUAAAGGAGCAGCUUAUUACAGGUUAAUCCAUGAUAUGUCUAAUUUACAGCUAUGUGUAUGUGAAUUUCUCAUAAAACAACGGGAUGGAGCUUCGGUCUGAUGGAGCCUGAAUUCUGCAAGGGGCAGCUGCUGUCUCCAGCUGAAAACACAAUACUGUUUGAGAGAAGUGUUACAACUGCUAGCAAAGGUCCUCUGGGCUUUUUAGGGCAAAUUAGGUCCCCAUACCCUCAGGGAUCCCACAGCUGUUCCCCCUGAGCACACAGAGCACCAAGAUGUGUGCUGAUGGCUGCAACAGCAGCAUAGCAGGGCUUGAUCUCAGCCACCUGAGAACAGAAUUUGGCCAUUUAAUAUCACACAAUAUCACAUAAACUGCAAGAACUUCAAGGUGUAAUGCUUCUUCUCUUUCUUCUUUCUCUCUUCUUUUUUUUUUUUCCCUUUCCAUUCCUUUUUUUUUUUUUUUUUUUCUCUGUAUCCAGGAGCACCCUGGGAAAUCCUUUCGUGUUCUUUAUUUCCAUCUAAGCCCUGGCUUGCUUUGAACAGCAGAGGUAAUUGUGCGGGUGAACUUCAGAGAUUUGAAGGGAUCAAACUUGAAAGCCCCUGCCUGAAAGUGCAAGCUCCAACUGGAAUGUUGUCAGGUGCUGUGAGACGGGACGUGGCGGUGCUGCCGUCGGAGGAAUCCUUGCACAGGGACAGUCUGAACCUGCGCAGCGCUCCCUUUGCACAGCCCCUGCAGUUAGCAAGGCUCCCAUAACCCACAGCAGUGCUCAAAUGAGGCAGUACUGCCCUCUCUGAUCUAUAAAUGGGUGUGUGUGAUGAUGUGACUUGAUGAAGGUCAUCUAUGUCAGACAGUGGCAGAGGGUGAAGAAACCAUCCUGAUGUCUAUUUUCAGGUUUUCCCUGAGCACAUCAGAGCAGAGAAGCCAAAGGGAUGCAGGUCUACAUCGUUUAUGAGAGCUACAUGUUCCUCUGGCUAGAAAAUCCUGGGGGAUUCAAUAAUAAUAAUAAAAAAAGAAGAAUCAGGGAAGAACUGAGAAGAAUAUAAUAGAAGUUUGCAGAUGGGGAAUUUCAGAAACCAGCAAAAUUCACGGAAGGAGAUUGUUACAAAGCACAGCCUUUGCAAUGGAUUUAUACAUUCUUUUAAAUUUUACACGACAGCCAAAACACUCCAGAUACGCUUCCUCCCUCUGCCAGUUUUCCUCGAUCUUCUCUUUGAGCAUAGGUGAAGUUCCUCAUGUUCCAAGACAGGGCAGGGUAUGUUCUGCUGCCAUUUCCCACACCCUUCUCAUGCCGUAUCUGACUAUCAGCACUGCUGCAAUCCAGGAAAACAGGAAACAUCAGAGCCAGUUGGAUUUUUCAACUCCUGAAUGUGUUUUGUUCAGAGUUCCUUUGGAAAAUAAUCAGGAAAACAAAAUAUGUUUUUACAAUUGUUUUUCCCCACUGGGUUUCAGACAACAGCAGCUAUAACAUGAAGUGAAAAAUAUAUUUAUUUCUUCUUCAAUCAAAAAUAUUUGGCUUGACCAAGAAAAUCUAUCUCAGUAAUCACAUGCUGUGUCAAUGCCAUCCAUCUUCUUCUACAAUAGCUAUUGUCAUCGAUAGUGAAAGUUUGUUUCCUGUAGUAAGAAGCAUGGGAGAUGUCCUUUCUUGUUCCGUAUUUUGUUCUGCUUUGCCCUGUCAUAAGGCUAUUAACUACACAGUUACGUUUCAUUUUAAGAUUCUCAGUUAACACUCCCUGUCUUUACACUGCAAACUGUUUCAUCUUCUGAAUUGCGAUCUGCCAGUGGCUGAUGCUGGCAACACAGCACAACGUACAGACUUCUGAUCUCUUUUGGCCUGCAAGCUUUUCUUUCCUAACUGAUGGAUGAAAACCAAUUCCCUGUGCAAUUUGCUGAACUUUACUGUGGUUCUCAGUGCUAUUUCAAUUUAUGCCUAAUAGGUGGAGAAUCACAGAAUGUCCCCGAAGAUCACUGAGCCCAUCUCCUGGCUCCACUUGGGGCUCCCUAAGAAUUAAACCAAAGACAUGUGAAUGCAAACUGAUUCAGAUGAAAUCCAUGACAGUCCUUCCACUUCCGGCCCUCUCAUAUGGGCAGACCCUUGCUUCAUUCUCACUUACUAUUGAAUAAAUAGUAUACGACUUUUGUGGAAUCAGCUAAGGAUUAGUGUUCCACACUCACACUUGUUGCCAUCCAUCUCUUUUCCAAAUUAUCCAUUUCAGCCACUGUGUGUGUUGAAGAGGUGUAAAACAUUGGUCUGAUAUGUGUGUGCUAUUACAGGAAGAAAUACAAGAGCAAACUCUCCUCUAACCCAUUUGAAUGCUUGUGAGACUGUUGGAGUUGUUGAGGUUCAAGGAAUGCCAUCUCCCAGGCUCCUCAUUGUCAUCUUCUUGGUAUCUGAACAUCUGGGGACAGCUGAGUCUGUGCAAGUUCAGUAGGAAAAGGAAAAUUAGUCAAAAGUACAUUUCUGCUCUGUAAGUGGUGUAUUUAAUUUCCAGCUAUGGAACAAAACACAAUUACCCAUGGUCCAUUUUUUCUGGGGUCAAGGCUGGCUAGAUUGUUGUAAUAAUCGUAAUAACACUCCCUCACUUGCUAUUUACCUUGGGAGCUAUUUGCUGUCCUUUGUCUGCAUCUGACUGUUGUGUAGGGACUGUGCCACAUCUUUGUGGUACAGCGUGUGUUUGGUUGCAGGGAUCUUUUGUGUCAGAAAAGGUAAACUUUGCACUCACAUAAAUUCUGUACUAGCCAGGACACAGUGAGACCUAUUCAGACUACUCACUUUCGUGAUAUAUGUAGCCACAUAAUCAUGGAAUAAAGACUCUGCAAAGUAUAUAGUGUUUUAAAGAUAACUUGUACUACAGCAGCGCAUAGAGGAAGGGGUGCUUUGUAUGAAUUACACAGAAAAAGUAUACUUCGCCAUGACCUGGGGAUUAGUUGCAGAUUCAACUCCAGUUUGGUUUGGCCAGAUGUGCAAAAGCUAGGAGGAAGGUGUAGAAAGCACCAGUGUAACCAUGUGAAACCAGGCUUUGAAAAAUAAAGAACUGGCUCAAGAUCACAGGACAUGAUCUAUGGAAGAGAAAGAAGUUAUGCAUGUAUCUCCCGAAUUGCUCUGUAGUGUAGUAACUAGUAUUCCCUUUACUCCCUUGAUACUAUAUGGGAUGUAAAAUAAUGCUCAGUUGCUGACCUCACAUACAGCAAACUGACCCAUUGUUUUCUAGGGAAAUUCAGCCAUGCAGAAAGGAAAUGCUCAGACAUCUAAAUAGCAAAACCAAAGCACUUAUGACCUUUUCUCCUGCCAAGAUCAAAGCAGCAACUUAUUUUCUCCUUUUUUCAAAUUUUAGUGACAUUAGCUAAUGUCACUGCUAAUGUCAACGUGCCAAGGUAUCUUGGUGCCAACUGAACAGCCAGGACUGGUAUUGCAAAGAUACUAAUGAUGUGCUGCUGCUGUCUCAAAGGGAUCCAUGCUGCCAGGCGCUUGUGAAGGACAAGGAAUAAUUUGUACUUUGCAUUGAGCCUUUCACUUGCUUGCAAAAGGUUGCCUGAGUGGAAUGGAACACACAUCAUAAGCUCAACACUUCUUUCAAAUUCCAAACAUACUUUCCUAACUCCACUUAUUACUAAAAUCAUGAUUUUAUCAUUCAAGAGCCCUAGCAAAUCAGCAGAGAAGAAUGUAAGAAAAUUCUACUACUGAGAUCCUAGCCUUGUUGUUCACAGGAAGUUAAAGCGAAACUCUUACAAGCAGAGCAGAGAUGCUUAACAGUCCUUGUGUGCUCACAAAGAAAAUAGAUUUUGUUUAUCAUUUAGAUCAAAAGAACAGGCAGAUUUUUAUUGAUUUUUGAGAUACAGCACUGAUCUUUGCCUCUGCGUCUAAUGGCUGUGAGCACUGGGUGCUACAGUAAUAGUGAGGAAAUAUAGCAAUUUUACACUGUUAAAUCUUUAUCUUGACUGUCUCUAAUUUAUCCAUCUUUAAUAAACCCCACUGCUCUGCAGCUGGUAACUAAAUCAGAGGCACAAGCACAACAUGAAGAGGACAAACUGAAGCCUUCUCCACAAGAUAUGAGGAAAGGACAUGACCUGCAAAUACACUGCCGAAAAGGCUGUGUAUAUCUUAAAUCUCAAUAAAUUCCUUAUUGUGGUGAUUUGGGAUAGCGUGGUGGCACAGCACUGAGUUUCAGUAAAGAAGGAGCUAUUCAGAUUAGCUGCUCUCCAGGGCUGUGGGCCCAGCUCCCUCAGGAUCCAAUGAAAAAAAGGAACUUGUGCAUACAGUAUGAAUAGAGUUUCUGCAAGUGAAUCAAAAUCUAGUCAUAGUGAAUAGAAUCAUAGAAUCACUAAGGUUGGAAAAGACCACUAAAAUCUUCUAGUCCAACCAUCAACUCAUCCCCACCAUGCCCACUGAUCAUGUCCCUCAGUGUCACAUCUCCACAGUUCUGGAACACCUCCAGGGACAGUGACUGCACCACCUUCCUGAGCAGCCUGUGCCACUGCAGCACCACUCCUGAGAAGAAAAUUUUCCUAAUAUCCAAUCUGAACAUUUCCUGGCACUACUUACAGCCAUUACCUCUUGACCUAUUGCUGUUACCUGGGAGAAUAGACCAACCUCCACCUUUUGUCUUGGUGGCAGUAUUUGAAUAGCUGGUCUUGCCAUUUGCUUCUUGACUUCUUUGGUUGAAAUGCCAGAAGAGGCUUGUAAUCCCACUUUGUGCAGUCUAAAAUCUGACCAUAACUCUUUAUCUUCUGAAGCUACUGCAGCUACUGAAAAAGGGUAGUAACUUACCAUCUGACAAUGGGAAAGGAAAAAUGCUGUUCUAGACUCUCUGCUUUCAAAAUGUUCUUCCUUACCUGAAAAGUUUACCUAGUUUAUUCAAUAUUCAUGCUUUUCAGACAUGAUGCCCUUGCUUCCUAUGUUCAAAUUGUAAGGAAGUGUUAUUGCCCAAUGCCAGAAACAUGCAACUAUUCUUUAAUACACCAGAUGCACUGACAUAUUUGCACUCAUACUCAGACUCUUACAUAAAUUUCAUUUUCCACUGAAACAAAAGAUUGUACCUUUGCAGGUCAUGAGGUCACCAAAAAGCCAACCACUAUUUUGUUAAAUUAAAGAUCUGAAUUUGUUCUGCAACAGAAAGGUUUGAGGGAUUUCAUAGACAUGAAUCAACUUGGAUUUUUGAAAAUUGGGGUAUUUUUACUUCUCAUUUUACUGGCAUAACAGUGAAAGAUGUACUUCCAGAAGACAUAUUUGUAUAUCUAACUUCUCACUUUUCAUCACUGUCUAUAUGAUAACUGUGACUGCAGUUUUUUUGCACUGGUAAAAGAGAAUAUCAGUUGUGCAUCAGCUGUGCUCGUCAUAAGAGACUCUUAAGUCUUAGCCAAUGUGAAUACAGAGGAGUCUAUACUUUUGCACAGACAAAAGCUUCUGACCUUCUUUACUGGCAGAGUGAAAAUGAGUGUUAGCCUCCUUGCUCAGGCAGCAUUUCAUCCUAUGAGAUCAUUUUAGUUCCUUUUAAUAACUUGUAUUUGUUUUGUGAGGUAUUUAGGAAGCGUUGGCAGGUAGGGUGCAUGAGUGAAACUCUUUCUUAUGUUAGAGCUAUUUGGAAUAGAAGACAAUUGAGAUUAGCUGAUGACUGAGUAUUCUUAGGGAAUGAACUUCUCUCUUUGAAACUCUGAGCUCAUGUGUUACUACAUUUAACUCGCAGCUCUGUCAGCUUUACAACAGCACAGGGGCAUGCAGGGUGCACGAUGGCAGCAGCGAUGGGGGAUUCACUGGGUAACGCUGCAGGUGCACGUGUUGCUCAUGGCAGCAGCUCCAGCCAGAAAUGCUGCUUUUAUCGAGGUCAUAAAUCAUGUCAGCCCUCCUGAAUACAGUUUUUCAAAAGGGUGAAGCCAUGGCUUGUGUGCUGGAUAUUUAUCUUGCUCUUCCUAAUGCUUUCCCAAAAGCUCUCCUUGAAGGCGGUAAACAGUUCUUUUGGCCAUAAUUAGAACUAAUUGAUUGCUAGAGGGGUUUUAGACCUGUGUCAAACCAAAGGGACAGAGAUGGGAAGAGGAGGCUGAUUCCCAGGCUGUUUCCUUGGCCGUGUACGUGGGCACACAUCAUGGAAGGGAUGAGUUCUAUUGACCCAAGGCAGUGGUGCUCAGGUGUCUGGUGAGUGUGGUGGGAGCCUCUCUGUACUCUGCUGUGGCUGCAGAGACGAUGUGAGCUUUGAACACUCACUCCACGCUCUGCAAAGUGGCAAUGUGGCCCCUGCCAUCCCCGAGGCUGGGCUGAAAGCUCUGAAGUUUGCAGAGAAACAUGCUGCGUCAGGCACAACCAGGCUGGCCCCACAUAAAGUCAAUACUUGUGUGAAAACAAAUAAAAUCUUAGAGUACGAGGCAGAGGCUAAAGAAUGCCUUCACCUCUUUCCUUCAAGCAACUAUUUUGUUAACUUGAAAGACGGCAGGGGUGAUCUUACUCCAUUCUUUCUCUACAGGUCAAAUACUUGUCAUAGGAGACACCCUAGUUAAUAUUAAACUAAAAAUUAAUAGAUUAGAUAACUAUUAUAUGCUUUUAGUGCCAAUUAAUUUAAUAGCUGGUUUUUUUUGUUUUGUUUUGUUUUCUCUUUUUCUAGCAAGGUAGGUGAAUAUAGCAGCACAGUUUACUGUGUCUGUAUGAGCUCUCAGAUGGGUCUUUUGUGCUACAAUUACCACCAAUUGAUUGGACUGACACAUGUAAUCCCCUUUGGAUCACCCAACGAUAUGAUGUCAGUAAGAAGUCCUUCAAACAGACUAUUAAAAAGCACAUUAAACAUGUCCUUAUUGUAAGCUUUAUGCUAGCUUAUGCUAAAAUAACAGUGAUACAGUGGUAUUUGUUUGAAAAUGAAAGGAUUAUAUGGUCUUUGUAAAAUGAGGAAUUUAGUAUUGGGAGGGGCAGUGGGAUGGUGAUUUAUUUUUUGUUUAUGUUCUUCCGAAUCCUUUGAUAUGUCAACUUCUGUCACUAACCAUUAGGCCACUUGUAAUUUCUUGUAUCAACGAAGAUGAAAUACAUACUGCCUCCAAUAAUUUAUGUCAAAUAUUGAAGGGCAUGGAUGGUAGUGCUUAUUGUGAGAUUAUAAUGAGAAUUGAACUGGGGGCUUCAGAAAUCCAUAGGUAAUUUAUUGUUAAAGAGCACGCAUGAAUCACUCCGGCCUUUAAUUGUCAUGUGGAUGCAUUUUGCUUUCAGCUUGCGCUGGAAACAAAUUGCUGAAAUGGAAUGAUAACUCAGAAGAAAGAUUUCACCAUGACCCUUUGUACUUAUUAAUAUAGUGCCAAGAGUGUAAUGAGUGCCAUGCCUUCUCUUGGGUCAGAUUCUGGUGCGUAGUGAAAGGAAUGCCUUGAAAUUUGUAUUGCUUUUCAUGAAGAAGAAAAACAUAAACAGUAGCAUAUACACCUCGCAAGCAAGGGCUGAGAGUCAAAAAGAUUUGUGGUAUUUAUAAUACUGCACAAUAAAGGUGACCAGGGGAUUUUAUAGGAUGAUUUAACACUGAACUGUGCAAAGAAAUUAAGCCGUUCUGGAGAUUUCUUUGUAACGCACCAACAUCCUCAUCAUCCCUCUUUGCUCUGCUCUCUUUUUAUCUUACAACGUCAAGGUAACACUCCAAAGUGGUUAACCAACUGCUGUGCAUAUCUUACAUAGAUGUGCUGCUUUAGAUCAUGCUGCUGCUCCCAGAGAGAGAAAUUUCAUUGUUAACCCGAAUCUAGGUGUUUUUGUCAAAAAAAUCAAAGCUACCAGAAAAUGGAUAUAAAUUAUUCGCAGGGUCUGGUUUUCUGUCUGCUUUAAUAUCAUGUAAUCAAAGGACAGAUUACUCAAAAUUACUCCUCUUGAGUGCUUCAGUGUAGUCAUCACAGCACUUCUCUGCGACUACUUCACAGUUUCUCAUAAUGUAAGAAUUAGGGGCUACGCAGUGAAACUAGGAAACAGCAAGCUUAAAAUAUACAAAAAAAAAAAA